rnacentral:rRNA from 1 species
AUAGAUCAUAAAUGCUGGAAUGCUUUAUGAUUGAAAGGUUUCGACCGCCUUAGGGUGGAUCUGCGGCCUAUCAGGUUGUAGUGGGUGUAAUGUACCUACUAGCCUACGACGGGUACGGGUUGUGGAAGCAAGAGCCCGGAGAUGGAUUCUG